rnacentral:misc_RNA from 1 species
GUCACCAGAUCAUCACGUGCAAGGAUACAACCAAGAGUUUCAGUAAUAGCAAAACGGAGAUUAUCACUGGGAGAAUCAAAACAGCUAGAGAUCUGCUUGUUACAGUCAGAAAUAAGCUUACCAAGACGGUAAGAAGGAAUAGCAGCAAGUAUAGAUACAGCAGCAGCAGUAACGUCCGGGUCAGGAAAGUCGAGAUCGUUACGAAUUCCGGUACAAACAGUUUCCCAAAGGUCAGCAGUAAGACGAGUGGAUCUAAUUAGGUCAAAUGCUAGCUUUUUCGAAAUGGCGGAAGCUGGUGACGCGACGAUCUCUUCAACAGCGGAUUUAGCGAUGACGGAGAUGUCUCUUCCGGCUGCGGAUUGUUGUAGAGCUUGUAAAAGAGCUCCUGAUUGACGGAGUGCGUCAUUUGAACGGAGAUCGGCUUGGAUCUGAGCGAAAAGUAUAUCCAUUUGUAGCCGUGGAAGUGAGCGAAACAGUAGAGAUUAGUAUGUUUUGCUCUGAAGCAAAAUCACACCAGUAGUAGUAGGAUGCUGCUUCGGAGCUCUAAUGGAGGAAAGGUCACUCAACUGUGAGUUGCCAUAUGUAGCUUUUUCUGAUCACGGAGGGAAGUUUCCGGCGGGCCGGUGGAUCGUUU